rnacentral:rRNA from 1 species
GAGUUUGAUCUUGGCUCAGAACGAACGCUGGCGGCAUGCCUAACACAUGCAAGUCGAACGGGAUCCGGACUUCGGUUCGGUGAGAGUGGCGGACGGGUGAGUAACGCGUGGGAACCUGCCCAGUGGUGGGGGAUAACUGCGGGAAACUGCAGCUAAUACCGCAUGAGCCCGAGAGGGGAAAGAUUUAUCGCCAUUGGAGGGGCCCGCGUUCGAUUAGGUAGUUGGUGAGGUAAUGGCUCACCAAGCCGACGAUCGAUAGCUGGUCUGAGAGGAUGAUCAGCCACACUGGGACUGAGAUACGGCCCAGACUCCUACGGGAGGCAGCAGUGGGGAAUAUUGGACAAUGGGGGCAACCCUGAUCCAGCAAUGCCGCGUGAGUGAUGAAGGCCUUCGGGUUGU